rnacentral:sRNA from 3 species
CGCCUCUGCCCUUCCUGGGCGUUUCCUCCCUAAUGAACUUCAGCCCGGUCUUUUGGCCGGGCUUUCUUUUUGCGCGUC